UACAGAGGUCUCAAGCGUUGUUCGGAUUCAUUGGGCGUAAAGGGUGCGUAGGCGGCGCGGUAAGUCGGGUGUGAAAUCUCGGAGCUUAACUCCGAAACUGCAUUCGAUACUGCCGUGCUUGAGGACUGGAGAGGAGACUGGAAUUUACGGUGUAGCAGUGAAAUGCGUAGAGAUCGUAAGGAAGACCAGUGGCGAAGGCGGGUCUCUGGACAGUUCCUGACACUGAGGCACGAAGGCCAGGGGAGCAAACGGGG
rnacentral:rRNA from 1 species